UCAUAUUAUGUCUAUGCAAUUUGUAGGAAUUAUAUUAUGUGCAAUCAUUUCUAGCCAUCAACAUACUUUCAAAUGAUUUUGCAUUACUUAGAUUUUGGGUCACAGUCAUCAGCCUUGAAGUAAUUAUCAUAAUGUAUCAUUUGCAUUUUUAAUGUUACAGAAUUUUUUUUCUUUGUUUAUCCCCAAACCUGAAGAACUUGGUAAUUCAUUAUUUUAUAAGAUUAAUUUUUUAGAAUUUAGAAUUAUUGAUUGGCAGGGAACAAAUGAAAAUGAGGGAGACUCAACAUGGCCCCUUUUGCUCUUGAAAUAGAUUAUCAUGUAUUGCAGAACUAAUACAAUAUCAUAUCCUGUAGCAGGGUUUCCAUCAGAAUGAUUCUAGGUGAUGGUGAUAUUAAAUUCUUGGUGAAGUUGACUUUAAUUGUUGGGUUUCCCUCUGCUGUUAUUAUUAUGGAUUAAAUUGAAAUAUCCCAAAAAAGCGUUUAUACAAUGGCAGUCCUAUGGUCGAGAUUAUGCAAGACUUCAGCCCUCCGUUGGUCUUUAAGUGUUGGGAAUCAAGGCCACAAUCUAUACCGUUAAAAAUCCAUUUCUCUGUUUGCAAAGGAAAUUGGAUGGCCAAUUAAUAGUUUUGGAUGUAUUGCAUGGCAAGAAGAUUACAACAGACUAAGAUCUCUUAAUUUACAGAAGUGCUUCUUUUUUUUUUUUUCAGAUAGAACAAGCCUUGAACCUUUGACCUUUAGAUUGUAUACACAAUCAACAAACCAUUUAGGCAUCAAAGAGGCUUGUAUUUCAAAUGAGAUAUCGAUAUGUUAUAAUUGGGCCUUACUGCUAGGCUGAACAUUGCUCAAACCUAAAGAUUUACCCGAUAUUACAGAAGGUGUAAUCUUGCAUGUAUUCUCAAACUAUGUACUAUUACUGUUGUUA